UGGCGAACGGGUGAGUAACACGUGUGUGAUCUGCCUUGCACUUCGGGAUAAGCUUGGGAAACUGGGUCUAAUACCGGAUAGGACAGCUGUUUAGUGUCAGUUGUGGAAAGUUUUUUCGGUGCAAGAUGAGCUCGCGGCCUAUCAGCUUGUUGGUGGGGUAAUGGCCUACCAAGGCGUCGACGGGUAGCCGGCCUGAGAGGGUGUACGGCCACAUUGGGACUGAGAUACGGCCCAG
rnacentral:rRNA from 1 species